UGCCCCCUGCCCGUGUGGACGGGGGCUUCUCAUGGCCCAGAGUCUCCAGGUCAGGCCUGUCCCCACCCCGGGACUGAAGCCUGCUUGGGUCUACUCCUGCUGCCUGGAGACCACUGGGCCAGCGUAACUGCCCAUCCUCUGUACACCAGGAGCUCCUGCAGCUGAAGCGAGGCUAUGCUGCACACCCGCCCAGCACUUCCACACGGCCCGGGCACACCUGCCCAGCACUUCCACAUGGCCCGGGCACACCCGCCCAGCAAUUCCACAUGGCCCGGGCACAAGUGACAAGCCCCUGCAUCCUGCCGCUGUGAGAAGAAAGGACCCUCACAUCACAGAGGAGUAAGGUGUGGCUCUUGAGCUAAAAAUCAUCUGUGAAGUUCUCAAAUCAUCUCUGAUGGAUGGGUCUUUUCCUUUAAUUUUUUUAGAAAAUAAUUUUGUAUUAGGUUCAUUACUUCCCUUGACACUCCUCCUUCAGCUGGAAAACCAGCUCCAAGCUAAGAUAAACUUCAGCUAAACACUGGAAUGGAAUCCAAUUUAGAUGCCCCACUAAUUCAGUAAAGCUGAUUAACAUGGCUCUGCUUUUCGAAUCCGUUUGGCGGGCUGCAGGGUUUCUGUUUGGUAAGCAGAGAGGAGAUAAAUGGGUCACUGUGUUUAUGACUCACCAUUCCCCUUAAUGUCCACACUGGAGAGAGUCCGUUCUGAUUACAAUUAAAAUGCUUUUAUGCCAUUUUAGCAGUAAUCGAGCGAACCCGGCCAUUUGUGCUUUGAUUCUCUCAGUUAAGUAAUUGAUGAUCACCAGCCAUCAUUGGAUGAUAACAUUCCAUCACUCGGCCUCCGCCCGUGACUUAAAAAGAGCCGGGACUGUGCUGCUGAGUCACUCAGGGAGUCGGCCUCUCGGGGAAAAGUGGGCACUUCCUUACUGACAACGGCUUCUGGAGGUCACGGCUGUUUGCACAAACCUUCCCAGGUUUAGGAGUUUGAUGUUACCUCGGAGGGCUGUGGGUGAGCGUGGGUGAUGGUGCAGGCCCAGGAACCCAUGUGGAGGUCUCAGCCUCCUUGAUUAGCCCCAGACAGGAGCCAAAUAAACACGAGUGGGAGGCUCUGUGGGCAAGUUUGUAGCCAGCCUGCGGGUCCUGCUGGAGUCCGGAAGCCACAGGAGCCAUCUUCCUUCCUGGGCAGCCGCCGCGCGGAGGAGGAGCCCACACAGGAGUCAGGUUCUGAGGCUGAGUCGGUGCCUGGGAACAGAAGGGAGCCCCAAGGGGACACUGGGUACAGCUGGGGGGCCGUGGGCUCUGAGUAAAGACUUGAAAGGGUUGUGACAUUGGCGGUGGGACUUUCCAGGGAAAGGCGACAGCUCCUUGAAGGGCCGGAGGCCGGAGGCCAAGGCAGUCAAGAAACAGCAAAGAGGAGGAAGAGCAGUUGGAGAGCAGAACGCACCUUGAUGGGGCUGGCGCCAAGUGGGGACCAGUGCCUGACUCCGGAAGGAGGGGAUGGAAGCUGGAAGGCUGCUCAGGUGUGGGCAGCACUCCCAGACCACAGCCCAGCCCUGUGAGGACUCGCACAGCCUGCAGGAGCAAAGGCCACAGCACCCAGGCUACAGCCUCGCAGUGGCCUCAGGAUGAGAGACCCUGCUAGGCAGUUAGGAGGAGGGUUCCCUGUCAUCUGCAAGAGCUGGUCCUGCUAGAGCCAGUCAGAUCCCUGAAUAGCAGGAGAUGAAGGUGAAGAAGAGAAACUGAGCGAAGCCCCGUGUCCCAGAUGGCAGCCAGAGGCACACGUGCAAUUCGGCGUCCAAGCUACCCGUGCUGUGUAACAAGCGGCCCGGCACUGGGACUUCAGCCCACAAGAGCUGCUGUUUCUCAGGGUCGGUGGGUUGGUGGGGUCCCUGCUGACCUGGGCUGGAGGAGGAGGCUGGCCCCCCUCACAUGCCUGAAGAUCAGCAGGCGGGCAGUCUCAGCUCUCCACUGUGGCCUGCCCAGCAGCAGCCCUGGCACCAUCACAGGCUGGCCUCCUGGCUCCCAGUGAACCAAGACAGCGCAAGCUCUGAGGUGCAGGCUUUCAAGUUUCUGCUGAAGCCACGCUGUCCAAUGUCCCAGCAGAUUCCAGGGAGGAGAAAUAGAUUCUGCAACACAAUGAGAGUGAGUUCCCCUGCAGGGGGCUCUCAUGGCGAUGGGUGGGAGGGCCCUGCCCUCGGUGCUGACAGCCCACCCCGCCAAAGGGCAGGUGCAGGGAGGGCAGGCGGCAGGAGGAGGAAGCCAUGACCUCGUCUCGUCAGGGGUGUCCGGGAGCAACUCCUCCCUGACCACCCGGUGCCUGGAGGCCUGCGGAGUGUCACUUAGCCUCUCCUUGCCUCAGUUUCCCCAAGAGUAAACUGGGAUAGGAAGGCCCCUCCAUGGCUCCACGUCAGCACCCAUGGGUGAUUGGGGUGGAACACAGCACUUGCCUGGCCUGCUAUAACCACUCAACAAAUGUUUGCUGUUAGUGGUAUUCCCCACCACGUUCGCACUGUCCAUGGUCAAGAAGGAAUUUGGCAAAUCGUAUUAAAUAUUUGCUCUUACUGUUUUUUAUAAAAUGGAUAAAUAUCCUCUUUAAAAAUUCAACUCCAAAAGAAAAAUACAAAUCAAAAGGCAGAAGGUGGAAGCCGCAGCCAGACUUUCCCGAGGCUGGAAGCUCUUUUCAAUGAUGGAAUGAACUCAGUGUGGUCUGAACAGGUGGACGCGGCCCCGUGGGAAUGGUCGACUUAAACACGCGGCCGAGAUCCAGGCUGGUCUCGAAUUCAUCUUCAGACCUUCCGGAAACCGUGGCUCCCUGGGGUGCUGCUGAGUGUCUGACUGUGCAGCACGUGGAGGGUCAGUUUCAGGCUGAGAGGGCGGUUGUUCAUGGAUCUGUGGGAAGGGGCUGAUUGGUUCCUGUGGGCCCUGGGGAUGGGGUGCAGAGGGUGGGUGAUGACCCGGAGUUGGUCUCUCCCUGAGUUUCUGGACUUAACACCCAGAAUCGAGUCCUGCAUGCAGAAUCCACAGAGAAGAUGGAUGUGAGUUGAAUGACUGUGCCCCAGCGUUCCUGAAGGCUCUCCAGGUGUCCUCUGCGUCCCAGGGCGGGCCCUCCCCUGCACCCCACCACCCUCCACUGGCCCUGAGCAUCCCCAGGCCUGGCUGUCCUUCACAUGCGUCUCCUUAUCCUGCCGCCGCCCUCCUCCCUGUUAGGGCCCCACCCCUGUGCCUGCCCAGUUUAGGGCCCCACCUGGUCAUCAACUUCUCACAUUUGGCAACUGGCUCGCUCUGUCCCCAAUUGUCCACUGGCCAUGGGAAUGGGCCCUGCACAGAACUCUUUCACCACUGGGCCUGAGGCGUGGCAGGGAGCACAGCCCCCCGAGGAGGAGGAUAGAAGGUGGUGAGUUGGUGGGUGGGCUCCACACGGUGUGAUGUCACGGUGGGAGGCAUCUAUACCCACACGGUGUGAUGUCGUGGUGGGAGGCGUCUGUACCCACACGGUGUGAUGUCAUGGUGGGAGGGGUCUAUACCCACACGGUGUGAUGUCGCGGUGGGAGGCGUCUGUACCCACACGGUGUGAUGUCGCGGUGGGAGGCGUCUGUAUCCACUGUGGGGAUAUCAGUCGAUAUCCACUGUCGAUAUUGCUCCCCGACAGUCCCCCACUGGGGCCCACAGGUGUCCACAGAUCCUGCUUCUUUUCCUGAUACCAGGUCGGGGUCUCCUCCUGGUUCUCUGUCUCCAGGCGUGGGGUCAGUCCUGGCUUCCAUCCGGCUUUCUGGAACGUGGCCUGAGGUGGAGGUGCUGCUUUGGCCGGGCCUGGGUGUUUGUGGAACUCGCCUGUUCCUGACCCUGGCCAGAGCGCUCAGGAUGACGAGGACAAAGCAGAGUGUCCUCAGCACACCUGAGCGGUCACCGGAGAUGGUGCGGUCAGCUGCCAGGCGAUUUCCCUGCAGAGUCGUUGUCUGUGAACCUGGGGAGGGUGUGUGGUUUAGACGCUGCCAUUUGAAGGUUGAUCGAAACUUGCACCCAUUUGAACCUCCAAGGAGCACUAAUGUCUUUUCUGGAAAGCAGACGGUCACGCGGCCCCAUGUGGGGACUUCGAGUCCAGCAUCAUCUUCAUCUGAAACUUCCUUGUCAUGCCGAAAAUGAGGUGUCAUGGCUCAUUCAAAUGAAUAUUAAUAAAUACAAAGUUUGCUAACUUUCUGAGUCAGAAAUAAAACCCUUAAGCCCCUUAAGCCUCAAUCUCAUAUUCUUGCGAUGUCUAAAUAUUGCUUAAAUUUGGGGCUGGAUUCCACUGCUGUCAUAUUUUACGAGUCACAAAAACUGUGACUUUGUUUCAUUGUUUAAUGAAGUUGUAAAUGUCAAAGCCGAUUUAGUGCCUGCAGUGAAGGUUCUUUCUGCUUUACUGGGCAUCUGAUUAAGAAUUUAUAUUUCAUUUAAUUUUCCGUGUGCAGACUAGAAAUAAAGCGUUUCUCUCUGAUUUCUUUUAUGAAUAAAACGAUAAAACUUAUUUUUCCAGUAAGUUCUUUGAUGUGUGGGGGAAGUGUCUGAGGAACCCUGGAACUGUUGCGUUGGGGGUUUGGCGUGCGGUGCCCGGAGCAGACGGUGUAUCUGUCAUCAGCCACCAUGAA